GCUGGCGGCGUGCUCAGACAUGCAGUCGAACGCGAAAGUCCCCUUCGGGGAGACAAGUAGAGUGGCGCACGGGUGAGUAACACGUAGGUAUCUACCUUCUGGAUGGGGAAUAACAGUCGGAAACGAUUGCUAAUACCGCAUAAUGCAGCGGCACCUAAUUGGUGACAGUUGUUAAAGCGGGGGAUCGAAAGACCUCGCGUCUAAAGAGGAGCCUGCGGCGGAUUAGCUAGUUGGUAAGGUAAUGGCUUACCAAGGCUACGAUCCGUAACCGGCCUGAGAGGGCGGACGGUCAGCACUGAGACUGACAUACGGGUCAGACUCCUACGGGAGGCAGCAGUCGGGAAUUGUGCGGCAAUGGGCGCAAAGCCUGACCAAGCAACGCCGCGUGAAGGAUGAAUCCCUCGGGAUGUAAACUCCGUCGAUUGAGACGAAU
rnacentral:rRNA from 1 species